rnacentral:rRNA from 1 species
UGUGACCUACGGGACGCAGCAGUGAGGAAUAUUGGUCAAUGGGCGAGAGCCUGAACCAGCCAAGUCGCGUGAGGGAAGACGGUCCUAUGGAUUGUAACCCUCUUUUGUCAAGGGACAAAAUCAGGCUCGAGAGCCUGACCGAGGGUACUUGAUGAAAAAGCAUCGGCUAACUCCGUGCCAGCAGCCGCGGUAAUACGGAGGAUGCGAGCGUUAUCCGGAUUUAUUGGGUUUAAAGGGUGCGUAGGCGGACUGUUAAGUCAGCGUUAAAAGCCCGGGGCUCAACCCCGGCGAGCCGUUGAAACUGG